AACCGUUCUCUCCCAAUCGCUGGAGCCGAGCGCCGCUUUGCGCACCACCGGUCCACCGCCGCUCGACGCUCGCGCUCCAUUGCCGCGGCCGCCUCUCCCGUCAGCAACGCCGCCCGCAGCCGGGCUCGUUCCUCCACGCAUACGAUGGACAUCCCUCCUCACCUGCUCCCUUGCGCCCUUGCACGCUUCCGUGCCGCCGUGCGCCCUCCUUGCCCCCGCCGCCGAACACGCCGUGGAAGCCUGGCUGGCAUACCCCGCACUAUCAGCCCCCGCGGCGUCUGCCUCCUUUCAGGAAAGGAUGUCUUCUGUGGUCUUCUUCCCUAAUUUUCUCCUUUUCUUCCACGCUUCCACACUGCUCCUGUAUGCAAGGUUCUCCCUCCUGCCGGCUUCCCUCUGCCCCUUCCUUUCGGUGCCCCUGCUUUUGGGAAGCGCAGAUUCAUUGGCAGGGAUUGGAGUUGCUGCUCUCUAUUUUCCCUAUCCUAUUUCACCUGUAUUUGUUUCUUUCCAAUUUUCUCUUUCUUCCUGUCAUACUGAUUGACGUCUGCUCCAACGAGUUUUGUGUGACUAAUCUUUUGUCUCUUUUACAUCUAUUGCUUCUUAAGGAUAAGGUGCUGCUGGAGAAGAGGGAUUGCAGCGCUCCCAGUUUAACUUGGGGUCAGUAUUAUAUCUUCCUCCCUCCCCGGCAUAGUACCAUAUUUCAGUGUGAACAUGGAGAAGAGUAACAAUAAUUUCAAAAUUGCAGUCUGGCUAUGCUUUAUCUGUUAGUGGAUGGUUCUAGAGAUGUAUGUGGUUGAUGCAACAAUGAUUCUGCAGCAAAAGGCCAGAACAGUUUUUCCGAAGAAUUACAAUGCUCCCUAUCGAGGGAUGUGCUCUAAGAGGAGGCUUCUGUAAAAAGAGUGACCAUCAUGAUGGUUCAGCUGGGGCAGUGUGCAGCAAGGUUGGAGGAGGACAAUAGUGGCAAUGAGUCAAUUGAAGUGAUAGCAGAUAAUUUCUCUGAAAUUUCUCUUGGUUCUUUACUAACCGAUACAGUGAGCCUUUGCCUGCAAUCCUAAUUGGAUAUAAUAAUAAACUUCUACCUACCUGUUGAACAGCUGAUCCCAACCCUCCCUCUGCAUUAGAGAGAUGGAUCAAUCAGAUGAGUACUCUUCAAAUGUCAAGAUCGGUGAAAGGCCUCCUUGGUGCUCCGAGGUACUGCAGCUGCAGUAGCAUGGAACACAUUUAUUUGUAGCAGCCGAGAAAGAUUUAGGCAGCGGAACUGUUGAUGCAUCCCACACUUGCGCCUGCAACAGCGAGCCAGGAACUACGUAAUCAUCGUCCAGGAAGGCAGGAACUAAGUACCUAUUGUUGUCGUAUGUGCUUGUGUUCAGCACUUUCUGUAUGUUUGGUGAGCCACAAAAAAUACUUACCUGUCCGCCUAAGCCUAUAAGAAAAUAUAUGGUACUCUAUUAUCUGUGAUACAGCAUGCGCUGUUACAUGAUCAUAAACUUUCUGCCUUUUUGUAUUGUAGAUGCCAAAAACAAUUAACCAUCUGAAAAACAGCGUGGAAACUACCUCUCCCUAUCCA